rnacentral:misc_RNA from 1 species
GAUGAAGAACGUAGCGAAAUGCGAUAAGUAAUGUGAAUUGCAGAAUUCAGUGAAUCAUCGAAUCUUUGAACGCACAUUGCGCCCCCUGGUAUUCCGGGGGGCAUGCCUGUCCGAGCGUCAUUACAACACUCAAGCUCAGCUUGGUGUUGGGCCCCGCCGCCCCGGCGGGCCCUAAAGUCAGUGGCGGUGCCGUCCGGCUCCGAGCGUAGUAAUUCUUCUCGCUCUGGAGGUCCGGUCGUGUGCUCGCCAGCAACCCCCAAUUUUUUUCAGGUUGACCUCGGAUCAGGUAGGGAUACCCGCUGAACUUAAGCAUAUCAAUAAGCGGAGGA